GACGUAGGGGUCCAGCGUUGUCCGGAAUUACUGGGUGUAAAGGGUUCGUAGGCGGUGCGGCAAGUUGGGAGUGAAAUCUCUGGGCUUAACCCAGAGGCUGCUUCCAAAACUGCUGUGCUUGAGUGUGGGAGAGGCGCGUGGAAUUGCAGGUGUAGCGGUGAAAUGCGUAGAUAUCUGCAGGAACACCCGUGGCGAAAGCGGCGCGCUGGACCACUACUGACGCUGAGGAACGAAAGCUAGGGGAGCAAACAGG
rnacentral:rRNA from 1 species